AACGAACGCUGGCGGCAGGCCUAACACAUGCAAGUCGAACGCUCGUAGCAAUACGAGAGUGGCAGACGGGUGAGUAACACGUGGGAACCUUCCCUAUGGUUCGGAAUAGCUCAGGGAAACUUGAGGUAAUACCGGAUAAGCCCUUACGGGGAAAGAUUUAUCGCCAUUGGAUGGGCCCGCGUCGGAUUAGCUAGUUGGUGAGGUAACGGCUCACCAAGGCGACGAUCCGUAGCUGGCUGAGAGGAUGAUCAGCCACACUGGGACUGAGACACGGCCCAGACUCCUACGGGAGGCAGCAGUGGGGAAUAUUGGACAAUGGGCGCAAGCCUGAUCCAGCCAUGCCGCGUGAGUGACGAAGGCCUUAGGGUUGUAAAGCUCUUUUGGCGGGGAAGAUAAUGACGGUACCCGCAGAAUAAGCUCCGGCUAACUUCGUGCCAG
rnacentral:rRNA from 1 species